rnacentral:piRNA from 1 species
UACAUAUGACGUAUGCAGGUUUACA